GGAGAGAUGGCUCAGCGGUUGAGAGCACUGGAUGCUCCUUCAGAGGUCCUGGGUUCAAAUCCCAGUACCA
rfam:Neotoma lepida isolate 417 scaffold_603, whole genome shotgun sequence.